UACGGAAGGCAGCAGUGGGGAAUAUUGCACAAUGGGCGCAAGCCUGAUGCAGCCAUGCCGCGUGUAUGAAAAAGGCCUUCGGGUUGUAAAGUACUUUCAGUCGUGAGGAAGGUGUUAAGGUUAAUAACCUUAGCAAUUGACGUUAGCGACAGAAGAAGCACCGGCUAACUCCGUGCCAGCAGCCGCGGUAAUACGGAGGGUGCGAGCGUUAAUCGGAAUUACUGGGCGUAAAGGGCACGCAGGCGGUUAAUUAAGUUGGAUGUGAAUCCCCGGGCUAACCUGGGAAUGGCAUUCAAGACUGGUUAGCUAGAGUCUUGUAGAGGGGGUAGAAUUCCAUGUGUAGCGGUGAAAUGCGUAGAGAUGUGGAGGAAUACCGGUGGCGAAGGCGGCCCCUGGACAAAGACUGACGCUCAUGUGCGAAAGCGUGGGGAGCAAACAGGGAUUAGAUACC
rnacentral:rRNA from 1 species